CCUACGGGAGGCAGCAGUAGGGAAUUUUCGGCAAUGGGCGGAAGCCUGACCGAGCAACGCCGCGUGAACGAAGAAGUCACUCUUAAUUUAAAGCUUCUUUUGUAGGGGAGAAAGAGCAACUUCACGUUACCUGCCGAAUAAGCCCUGGCUAACUAGGUGCCACAAGCCCCGGUAAUACGGAGGGAGCGAGCGUUAGCCGGAAUUAUUGGGCGUAAAGGGUGCGUAGAGGGCAUAGAAAGUCGUUGGUAAAAAUGCUGGGCCCAACCCAGAAGGGCCAAUGAUACUGGACAGCUAGAGUGUGAGAGAGGUAGGUGGAACGAGUGGUGUAGCGGUGAAAUGCGUAGAUAUAAGUAAGAACACCGAUUGCGAAGGCAGCUUACUGGG
rnacentral:rRNA from 1 species